AUCACUGAGACAUUCUAUUCUUAGAAACUCCAAUUCCUUACAGUGAAGUUCUUAAAAGUUUUAUUCAACCACUAUGUGAUACAAAGGGUCACAGACAAAAAUCAUCUCAAAAAGUUUCCAUUCUAAAUGGAGAGAUAAUGUUGAUGUCCUUUGUUCCAGAAAAGGAUCAAAAUGACAUCACUAUAUUAGUCAAGUUACAUUGUGUCACACUGGCUGAUCAAACUAAUGUGAGUUCAGAAUGCUCUGCCACAGGUACAAAUAAUCCAUGUGGAACUGAUGCUAAGUGAAAUGAGCAGACCCAGCAGAUUAUUUUAACAUGCCAACAACAAGAUUAUACAAUGAUCAGUUCUGAUGGAGGUGGCUCUCUUUCAACAAUGAGAUGAUUCAGACCAGUUCCAAUGAUCUUGUGAUGAAGAGAGCCAUGUGUACCCAGAGAGAGGACUGUGGGAACUGAGUGUGGUUCACAACAUAGCAUUUUCACUCUUUUUGUUGUUGGCUUGCAUUAUAUUUUCUUUCCCAUGUUUUUCCGGUCUGAUUUGAUUUUUCUUGUGCAGCAAAAUAAUUGCACAAAUAUGUAUGCAUAUAUUGGAUUUAACAUAUAUUCCUACUAUGUUUGACAUAUUGGACUACUUGCCAUCUAGGGGAGUGGGUGGGAGAAGGAGGAAAAAUUGUAACAUAAAGUUUUGCAAGGGUUAAUGUUGCAGAAUUAUCCAUGCAUAUGUUUUGAAAGAUAAAAAGCUUCAAUUUUUUUUAAAAAGUUUUAAAAAAUUAGUCCAUGUGAAUAUUUGGGAUGAAUUAUCUAACUUUUCACAUCUCACAUUUCUUCUGAGCUACUGCAAUUCUGUUUUGCUCCUAGAUCAUCGUACUUUUUAUGAUGAAGGCAUUCUAUAUUGGUCAGUCCUGUGUCAGUGCCUCCCAUGUCAUGCAAUCAAUUCUAAAGUUCUUGAAACCUUAAAAGUGUCCUUGUAUCACUUUUUCUGACUACCAAGUGAUCUUCAGAAUCUUCCUACAACAAUUCAAAUGGAAACAAUUCAGUUUCCUGGCAUGAUCCAGGUUUCACAGGCAUACAACAAUAAGGUUAGCACAGUGGCUUUAUAGACCUUCAGUUUGGUAGCCUUUUUUCAUUUUCCUUCAGAGCCUCACAAAUACUGAGCUAACCAGUGUUACUACUGGGCUUAUAUUCCAAAGAGAUCUAAGAUUAAAGAAUGGAAAGGGACCUGUAUGUGCAAGAAUGUUUGUGGCAGCCUUCUUUGUAGUGGCCAGAAACUGGAAACUGAGGGGAUGCCCUUCAACUGGAGAAUGGACAAAUAAAUUAUGGUAUAUGAAUAUUACGGAAUAUUAUUGUUCUGUAAGAAAUGACCAACAGGAUGAUUUCAGAAAGGCCUGGAAUGACUUAUAUGAACUGAUGCUGAGUGAAAUGAGCAGGACCAGGAGAUCAUUAUAUACUUCAGCAACAAUACUAUAUGAUGAUCAAUUCUGAUGGAUGUGGCCCUUUUCAACAAUGAGAUAAACCAAAUCAGUUCCAAUAGAGCAGUAUGAAUUGAACCAGCUAGACCCAGUGAAAGAACUCUGGGAAAUGAAUAUGAACCACUACAUAGAAUUCCCAAUCACUCUAUUUUUGUCCGCCUGCAUUUUUGAUUUCCUUCACAGGUUUAUUGUAUACUAUUUCAGAAUCCGAUUCUUCUUGUACAGCAAAAUAACUAUGGACAUGUAUACAUAUAUUGUAUUUAACAUAUACUUUAACAUAUUUAACAUGUAUUGGUCAACCUGCCAUCUGGGGAGGAGGUGGAGGGAAGGAGGGGAAAAAUUGGAACAAAAGGUUUUGCAGUUGUCAAUGUUGAAAAAUUACCCAUGCAUAUAUCUUAUAAAUAAAAAGCUAUAAUUAAAAAAAAUACUAAGCUA